GAUUGUCCAUAUAUUCCCACAAUACUUUGUGGCCCUGGAUUGUCCAUAUAUUCCCACAAUACUUUGUGGCCCUGUUGUUCGAGAAACUCCUCUACAAGCGGGUAUUUCAUUACCUCUUACCUGAGAAUGGGCAUUCUGCUGCCUUUGCACCGAUGCUUCUGAUGGGGUGGAACAGAGCGGCUGUUGCAGGAUCCGCGUUGCCUUGGAAACAGCUCACUUACUUACAACCUGACUUUAAUACUGUUUUCCUUACCUUUCUUACCUGUUACUGUGCCCCAGCUACAGAAAGGUUUUUGCCGCGUUACAGUAAAAACUGUAGCAAAGUCUGUCCGUGUUGGCUUCGCUGGAUUUUAGUGUUUCCUCAGUCAUGCACCUCUGGCACUGGUAUUCCGGGGGCAGGACAGCCCGCCCGGCUCUGCAGCACCCAGGUCUGAGGAGGGAGCGUGGUUCUGCUGCUGCUCUGAAGGUUCAGGCCAGCAUCACGGACAGAACAGGAGGCCGCAGAUUGCAGGGAGUGGGCAGACCUGCAGGGUGAAGGGCUGCGGCAGGCGGAGGGACUCCUUGGCACCAAGUGCCGAGGCUGCAGUCUGCAACAGUGCAGGAAACCGGUGCUCCUCGUGACAAAACAUCCUGGGCCUUUCAGCUGGAUGGGGAGACAGUCACGGUUAUGUGAGGGAAUUUGCGUAUAAUACAGAAGGUUUUGCUACUAAUAGAUUGCAGGUAAAAGAGGAAUUUUGUGCUCCCUUUUGAAGCGGGCUUUUCUGGAAAACGUUGUGUCACGGGGAAGCGUGUCUGUUCGUGAAAGAGGACGGAGGUGGGCACGCUUUGUUUAGGAGGAGCCCAGCAGACCUUGCUUUAGCCAGAGACGAGGGAGCGGGGAGAAGCGAAGCAGCCUUUCUCCUGAACUGGAGGUGUGUCAAGAUGGGGAAGACGUGAGGUGAAGGCCUGGUGCGGCAGAGCGGAGGAGAGCGACUGAAGGUGCAGCCGACCAGGGUAAGUCUUAGCGGGACAGAGGAGACGUGGCGAUUUUGGGGGUGGGGGGGGUGGGGGGCAAGGUAGCAUUCACAGGGCAGACAGCAACGUAACGCCCUUUGCGCGUUCCUUGAAGCGUUUCAGUGUGGCAGUUAAGGGGUGGAUCCUGCCCCUGAAUCCUGUCCCACGAGACCCCUUCUGCAAAAUGGCAAAUACUUUGCCUCUUUGUUUUCUGCCUCUGAGCAAAGCUGCCUGUCGUAGAGCAGCCACAUUCCGGAGUCAAUCCGGCGGGUGCGGGACCCUGCUGGGUCGGGCCUGUUAGCUGUGGGGGUUACGGACGUUCUGGCCCACGCUCAGCGGGAAGGCAGUGGUGCCUGGUAAAGGUGGUUGAGCUGGGGGCCCUGCGGGGCUGGGAAGCGAGCGGUGAGGGGAUUUGCUGAGGGAAGGCCUUUGCCCAGGCCCAAAUGAGGGAGGCUGGGGGCGCAGAGGCUCAUUUGCUGGGGCUACCUGACAUAACCCCCUGCUGGUUUUUGCUGCUAGCGUGCAUGAAUGCCUUGUGUGCGCAGCGCAGGACUGUGCCUCCUGCCGCCCCACGCAGAGAUGGCGCCUAAACCCUGCCACGCUCGGGUGCGCUGUGGAGGGCUCAGCUGUACCGAGGAGCCGCUGGGGAGCCUCGCCGGGGACCGGCCUGCCUCGCUGAAGCGGCGACUGGGCAGGUAUGGUUCUUUUCAUGCAGCAUCAGCGCAGGCAGUGAGGCAGGGGCGCUGGGGGCUGUGAAACGAAUCACAGCGUAUUUGUGCUGCUUGCACAGGGUUUGACACGGGUGGGUCCUGCCGUAAGAGAGGCCUGGGGAGGGGAAGUGAGCCCUCCACUCAAAACCCCAUGUGCAUGUGUCUAUGCUGUGUCCCCAGUCUGGGAUAUCCAGUGCAGGGAUGGCCUGGCCUUACUGCAGAGCUGUGCAGGAGUUAACGUAGCCCCUGGCUGUGUCCUGGCCUGGCGGGGUCCCGGGAGAUUGCUGAGGGGAGCUGGUGAGAGCUGCCCAACUCCAGACUGACGUUUACAGCGCCUGCGUGCCAGCGUAUCCCUUUCCGCAGGCCGAGAGCCUUUCCAGCCAGAUGAAGAUCAAUGACGGCUGGAACGGUAACAGCACGAGGCUCUGGGGAGGGGUGAGGUGCACUGAGAGCGAGCGAGCGCUUUCAUUGGAGAGCACAGGCUCCCUUCUGUAGCUGCUAAGGACCGAGGGACACCGCAGGGCUCAGGAUCCAAAAUCUGUUGCACUCAGGCCCAGUUUCUAGUGAAGUCUAAUGGCCUGCUCACGCCUGCUGUGUUGGAAUGAGCUAGCGCUGCUGCCCGCUGCUUUAAAGAACAAAGCUGAGCGAGAUGUUCCAGGGAAGGAUCUGGAGGAUUCUGUGUCCACCUCAUGAUGCAGGCAAGAUGGGAG